CCUACGGGUGGCAGCAGUGGGGGAUAUUGCACAAUGGGGGAAACCCUGAUGCAGCGACGCCGCGUGUGGGAAGACGGUCCUCUGGAUUGUAAACCACUGUCCCCAGGGACGAAGACGACGGUACCUGGGGAGGAAGCUCCGGCUAACUACGUGCCAGCAGCCGCGGUAAUACGUAGGGAGCGAGCGUUGUCCGGAAUUACUGGGUGUAAAGGGAGCGUAGGCGGGACUGCAAGUUGGGUGUCAAAUCUACCGGCGCAACCGGGAGCCGCACGCAAAACUGCAGGUCGUGAGUGAAGUAGAGGCAGGCGGAAUUCCUAGGGUAGCGGUGAAAUGCGGAGAUAUUAGGAGGAACACCAGUGGCGAAGGCGGCCUACUGGGCUUUUACUGACGCUGAGGCUCGAAAGUGUGGGGAGCAAACAGGAUUAGAUACCCGUGUAGUC
rnacentral:rRNA from 1 species